GAAGAUAUAUUGGCAGAUGAUCCUCCACAAUAUACUUCAUAGGCAAGAUAUUUUCAGAUGCACAGCUGCAUUGUUUUGUCUGCAAUUUUCUGCUUUCAUUUCAGUCUUUGGGAGAAGACAAAAAAUUGUUCAACUGCGUACCAAGCAUGUCUGUGGACUUUGGAGCAAUCAAACUGUCCCCAGUGAAAAACCAAAAAUGCUUUGGAGAUUGUUACUGUCGCCUUUUAUUUGCUCCUUACGAGAUUAUGCCUACCAAAUUUUGAGUUUGAGCAAUAAAGAUUGAACAGAAAUCGAGAAAGUUUACAUCACCAACUCGAGCUUUGAGCCCUCAAGUUCUCAUCACGUUGCCAACAUUUGUUAGGAAUGUGUCGUAGAACCAGAAGGACUAGAAGAGUUGAAGAGGCCAAGAGUUGGCAGCAUGUUCUGGAAUUGUGACAGAAGUUAGUAGAAGAUCGGCUGAAGUUUCUGUGCGCAGUUGUGAGGAAGAGAGAAGCAUAGGGGAGCAAGCUGGUAACAGAAUGACAUGUGCAAAUAGAAACAGGCGAGAAUCUAUAAAUAAAGAAGAGAAGGAAGAAUAGGGGCAUGCAGAUAUCAUUGAGUUGAAUUGCAACUAUAAGCUGCAGCUAGCUUUUUAUCUUCUUGCUUCUUUGUACUGUUAUAUUCCAACAGUGUUAUCGCCAUUAGAGAAUUGUUGAGGAAGAGAGUUGUCAUUGUAACUAAGAUAUUUGUUUGUAAACGUUCUGCCAUUUCAUUUGAAUACAAACUCAUAUAU